GCUGAUUCUACCAGCAGACACUGAAAGGACUCUGAUAGUUCGAGUGAAAGCAGCAGUUCCUCCUUAAGGUCAGAGGUUGCAGCAUCUGAGGGCCUCUUCAAAAGAAGAUGUAGUUGAUGAAGGCGUUCUGGAGCAGGACCAGAAAGACCACGACCAAGCAGCCUUGAGAUCUUAGACAGCGUCUCCCUCAGGUCCCUCUCUAUCUCCCCACACAUCCACCAACCACUGGAACACAUCUCCAAAGUUCUGCUGGACCAGCUCAGCUUCCCCUCAGAAGAAGUGCCGCCACCUGCCAGAUGAAGGAGCCUUUUGAGAGGCAGCUGGCAUCGUGAUUGGACUGUACUUUGGUCUGUUCCAAUCCAGCUUCAGCUCCAGAGACGGCAGGUGGGACGAGUCAACGGAGGCCUGGUGGACGAAGACAUGCAGCUGAGUACAAUCCAGAAAACAACAGAGGAGGAGUGCAGCGGCCCAGAGCCAGAACAACCAGAGUAGCAUCACCAAAGAACUACAGACUCUUCACAACCUGCUCAAACUCUUGGUACAGGACCUCACCACACGGGUCAAGAAGGUUUCUG
ensembl:lncRNA